rnacentral:ncRNA from 1 species
UAAUUGGUGGAGCAAUUUGUCUGGUUAAUUCCGAUAAUGAACAAGACUCUGACAUGCUAACUAGUUAUGNGACCCCCAAGUGGUCGGCGUCCCCCAACUUCUUAGAGGGACAAGUGGCAUUCAGCUACCUGAGAUUGAGCAA